CACCUCCAAGGCACCAUAGAGUUCAGCGCGCAGAGUCGGGGGGGGGGGGAGCAAGGCGCAGGAUGGGGAAGGAAGCGGAAAGGCUCCAGGAGAAGGACGGAGAAAGCAAGUAAGAGCAAGCGCAGGCCAGGAGCGCCGGAAACCGACCGCCGGACGGAAACAAGCCGACCUCCCUUCCCGGAAGAACCCUGGUACUGGCAGGAAGACCUGUCCCCGGUGAUCAAAGACAUCCUUCUACAACUACGGGAGCAGAAUGAGGAAACAGGAUGCUGGAUAAGGGAUCAGAAAACCUGCUGGCUACAUCUCUGCAAUUAAGUAUGUCUCGGAGCAAGACUCAAGGAAAUACACAGCUAUGCUCGCUGCCUCAGUUUCCCUGGUUGUUAGCAUGGGGGGCCAUCAAGGGAGUUUGUUCAAGCUGAUUUUGGAGCAACAGAUAGUUUUGACUUGACAACCCCUUCCUCUGCAGACCUCAGCCAUGGCCUUAGAUCCAGGGUGGAUCGCCCCUUCAGACCCUCUCAAAGCGGAUGGGUGUGGAUGAGCCACCCUUGGCAUCGUGCCUUGUGCGUGUGACUCAGACGGUUUCUGCUUGUCUGAAGGAUUCCUGCAAGUCCUCAGAGUUGUCCAACCCGCCCGGGCUCAGCGCUGGAGCCCGUGAGAAACACGCUCAAAGUGAGUCACGCAGUGCCAGCAGCCUUGUUCUCCCUGUGCGGGAUGGACUGCUGCGCGCGGGGACUCGACAGUCACUCUCGCUGCGUGCCCUUGCUGUCCUGUGGGGUUGAAUCCGGGAUGGCUGCUCGGAGCUCAAUGGAGGGAGGUCCCCACGGACCUUUUGUGUAUGGUGCAACGCUGCGUUUCUUUUUUGCUUAUUCGAGUUCCAGCCAGCUGGCCUCACACUGUCUUUGUUGUGGGAAAUGGUCCCCUUGAAGUCAGGGGAGUUGGGCUUGGGGCAUCUCGGAAGUCCCCUGGCUUCCACUGUUGGAAGGCAUCCGUUCAUUUUGAAUGCCUCUGGUUUUUGGACUUAAUCGGACCCACCCAAGGGCUAAUUUUUUUCAGAGGCACCGUAUGCCUCAGCACCUCCUACUGAUAGUAGCUGGUGUGGUGAGAGAUCAGCAUCUCUGAUACUCGAGCUGCAUUAGCCAAGGGAGCCCAGAUUCUUUUUAGCUUCUCGGACAGGUUUGCAAAGCUGGAUUUUUUUUAAUUUUUUUUUUUUUUUUUUAAAUCUGUCGAUGGGAGCUUUAAGAUGAGACUCUAAAUAAGAAGAGGUUUUUUUGGAUGUGAACUUGGGUAUCUGUGACUCAAUUUCCUCAUGUGCAAGAUGAGGGGGUGGCCAUCUUCCUUACUUAAUGGUAAGAUAAAGGUGUUGGAGAUCUUACUGUUUUGGUGCAAGAUGCAAGUGGAGCGUAAGACCUCAGGAAGCUGAUCCUUUGUGGAGAGCUCUUUGGAAGAUCCUUUUCCCAUUAAGCUAAUAAUAUCUCAUCUGGCAAGCUGGGUAAAGCUGGAAGAUCCCAGAAGUCCAGG